CAGCCGCCGCGGGAAUACGUAGGUGGCAAGCGUUGUCCGGAAUUAUUGGGCGUAAAGGGCUCGCAGGCGGUUUCUUAAGUCUGAUGUGAAAGCCCCCGGCUCAACCGGGGAGGGUCAUUGGAAACUGGGAAACUUGAGUGCAGAAGAGGAGAGUGGAAUUCCACGUGUAGCGGUGAAAUGCGUAGAGAUGUGGAGGAACACCAGUGGCGAAGGCGACUCUCUGGUCUGUAACUGACGCUGAGGAGCGAAAGCGUGGGGAGCGAACAGGAUCAGAUACCCCGGUAGUCCCUGUCUCUUAUAC
rnacentral:rRNA from 1 species